rnacentral:piRNA from 1 species
UGCAGGAAAGCCUUAUUGAAAUCAUGGAAGC